CAGUAGCCACGGGAAUACGAAGGGUGCAAGCGUUACUCGGAAUUACUGGGCGUAAAGCGUGCGUAGGCGGUGGUUUAAGUCCGUUGUGAAAGCCCUGGGCUCAACCUGGGAAUUGCAGUGGAUACUGGGUCACUAGAGUGUGGUAGAGGAUAGUGGAAUUUCCGGUGUAGCAGUGAAAUGCGUAGAGAUUGGAAGGAACAUCUGUGGCGAAGGCGACUAUCUGGGCCAACACUGACACUGAGGCACGAAAGCGUGGGGAGCAAACAGGAUUAGAUACCCCCGUAGUCCCUGUCUCUUAUAC
rnacentral:rRNA from 1 species